rnacentral:rRNA from 1 species
GAACGAAGUCUUCGGACUUAGUGGCAGACGGGUGAGUAACGCGUGGGAAUGUGCCUUUCAGUUCGGAAUAACUCAGGGAAAUUUGAGCUAAAACCGGAUACGCCCUUCGGGGGAAAGUUUACGCUGAAAGAUCAGCCCGCGUUAGAUUAGCUAGUUGGUGGGGUAAAGGCCUACCAAGGCUACGAUCUAUAGCUGUUCUGAGAGGAAGAUCAGCCACACUGGGACUGAGACACGGCCCAGACUCCUACGGGAGGCAGCAGUGGGGAAUAUUGGACAAUGGGCGAAAGCCUGAUCCAGCCAUGCCGCGUGGAUGAAGAAGGCCCUAGGGUUGUAAAGUCCUUUCGAUGGUGAAGAUAAUGACGGUAACCAUACAAGAAGCCCCGGCUAAUUUCGUGCCAGCAGCCGCGGUAAUACGAAAGGGGCUAGCGUUGUUCGGAAUUACUGGGCGUAAAGCGCACGUAGGCGGCCUUGUAAGUUGGGGGUGAAAUCCCGGAGCUCAACUCCGGAACUGCCUCCAAAACUACAAAGCUUGAGGAUGUGAGAGGAUAGUGGAAUUCCGAGUGUAGAGGUGAAAUUCGUAGAUAUUCGGAAGAACACCAGUG